CCCACCAUGCAUUGUCCCUGAUCCAGAUAAUGGAUCUAGGUUAGAAUUACAAUCAUACUAGGGUGGUAUUUCAAGGAUGGCUCCACUCAAGACUAGCGUCUAAGUUUCAAAGCCUACCACCUAUCCUACACAAGUAGGAUCAAAAUUCAAUGCAAAGCUGUAGUAAAGGUGCACGGGGUCUUUCCGUCUGGCCGCGGGUAUACUGCAUCUUAACAGCAAUUUCAAUUUCACUGAGUCUCGGGUAGAGACAGUGUAGCCCUCGUUACGCCAUUCGUGCAGGUCGGAACUUACCCGACAAGGAAUUUCGCUACCUUAGGACCGUUAUAGUUACGGCCGCCGUUUACUUGGGCUUCGAUCAAAAGCUUCGGAUAAAUCCUAACCUCAUCAAUUAACCUUCAAGCACCGGGCAGGCGUCACACCCUAUACGUCCACUUACGUGUUUGCAGAGUGCUGUGUUUUUAAUAAACAGUCGGAGCUACCUGGUAUCUUCAACUCUUACCAGCUUCAUUUAGCAAGUAAAAUUACCGGCAAGAGCACACCUUCUCCCGAAGUUACGGUGUCAUUUUGCCUAGUUCCUUCACCCGAGUUCUCUCAAGCGCCUUAGAAUUCUCAUCUCGUCCACCUGUGUCGGUUUGGGGUACGGUUUCAUAUAACCUGAAGCUUAGAGGAUUUUCCUGGAAGCAUGGUAUUACGCACUUCUCCCAAAAGAGGGAUCGUUAUCACGCCUUAAAAUAUAGAGUUCCGGAUUUUCCUAAAACUCAUUUCUACACGCUUGAACUUGGACAACCAUAGCCAAGCUACGCUAACCUUCUCCGUCUUCCCAUCGCAGUUAUAUGAAGUAUAGGAAUAUUAACCUAUUUCCCAUCGACUACGCAUUUCUGCCUCGCCUUAGGGGCCGACUAACCCUACGCCGAUUAACGUUGCGUAGGAAACCUUGGACUUCUGGCGAGGGGGUUUUUCACCCCCUUUAUCGUUACUCAUGUCAGCAUUCGCACUUCUGAUACCUCCAGUAAACCUUACAGUUUACCUUCAACGGCUUACAGAACGCUCUCCUACCAUUGCAAUAAAUUGCAAUCCGUAGCUUCGGUAUGUAGUUUUAGCCCCGUUAAAUCUUCCGCGCAAACCGACUCGACCAGUGAGCUAUUACGCACUCUUUAAAGGAAUGGCUGCUUCUAAGCCAACUUCCUGGCUGUCUUGGCCUUUUCACAUCGUUUCCCACUUAACUACAAUUUUGGGACCUUAGCUGACGGUCUGGGUUGUUUCCCUUUCCACUACGGACGUUAGCACCCGCAGUGUGUCUCCCAUGCUCAUACUUGUCGGUAUUCGGAGUUUGCAAUGGCUUACUAAGCCUUGACGACCCGCUAACCAUAACAGUGCUCUACCCCCGACAGUAAUACAUGAGGCUCUACCUAAAUAGAUUUCGGAGAGAACCAGCUAUCUCCGGGUUUGUUUGGCCUUUCACCCCUAUCCACAGCUCAUCCCCUCAUUUUUCAACAUAAGUGGGUUCGGGCCUCCAGUUAGUUUUACCUAACCUUCACCCUGGCCAUGGAUAGAUCACCCGGUUUCGGGUCUACUCCCAGCAACUAAACGCCCAUUUAAGACUCGGUUUCCCUACGGCUCCCCUAUUUGGUUAACCUUGCUACUGAGAAGUAAGUCGCUGACCCAUUAUACAAAAGGUACGCAGUCACAGAAUAAAUCUGCUCCUACUGCUUGUAUGCAUACGAUUUCAGGUUCUAUUUCACUCCCCUCCCGGGGUUCUUUUCGCCUUUCCCUCACGGUACUUGUUCACUAUCGGUCAUUAGAGAGUAUUUAGCCUUGGA
rnacentral:rRNA from 1 species